GGUCCCGGGACGUUCUGGGUGAAGUUCAACUCCAGCAGCAUUGCUGCUUUUAUAGGAAGAGGCGGGCGCCGGUGGGGGAAAGGCCAGGUGAGGACACCUGAAGUGGGUGCUGCCUGCAAGCCCCAAAGCUAGAGGCCUCAGGGGAGACAAACCUGUGGACCCCUCCUUGUCAGAUGUGCACCCUUCAGAACGGAGGCACACUGUUUCUGGAAUGAAGUAAAGGGCAAAUCACAACCCACUGAAUGAUAGGAGCCAGAGAAACAUAAGAUGUUUAGAAGUCCUUAAAAUAGUUGGUGUGUUGUGACCGAUCAGAUACUUCUGCAAGUUGAUCUGAUAAAUGCAUAACUAUUCGAAGAUAGCAAAUGCUUAGACGAGAAGCCGCAGAAGAAAAUGCUAUACAGCUGUUUGAGAAUAGAACUCUGCAGACCAUUCAUUCAGUCUACAAGAAGGAAGAGACACUUGGGAAACCAGUGGAAUAUUCUGGAUCAAGAGACACCAAAAGAAUAAGAUCCAGUAUGGGGGUCUUGACGGGCUCACAGUGCAGUAGGGGAUGAGGAAGACGACCAAAUAAAAUAUAAUGGGUGGAGCUUUCUCUAGACUCUAGGUGUAAAGUGCUUUGGCUACUCUGGGGGAGACUAGGGCAUGGCUUUCCCAGAGGAAGUUGCUUUGGAAUUGGAGACCCAGCAGAUGAGGGCAUUUCAAGCAGAGGAAACAUGUGCUAUUCAGAAUUCAGUGAAUCAGAAGCAGCUUGCAACGGGUGGAGCUUAGGUCUCUGAGGACGGGGCACGAAGGUGGGAAGGGAACUGUGUUUUCAUGUCACAAUGGCCAAUGAUGAGAAAUACAUUCAAACUUCUUACAAUUACACAGAAACAUGGCUUAUGUAUACUAACAAUGACGCUAAGGUAGUUUCAAAAAUUAUCAAUUAAAUGUCUAUAUUAACUAUAUUAAGUUUAAUUAGUGUUCUAUCAUUAAUAUACCAUAUUAAAUAUUGAUAUAUCAUCUAAUGACUCUAUUUCCACAGAGAUAAUAGGUUAGUGGUGAGCGUGGAUCAGAACCCAGGUCUGCUGACUUCAUAGCCCAGGCUUUUCUGACCAUUAUAAAGGAGUAAAUCUGCAUCUGGGUUUAUAGAUCAGUCCCUUGAGAAUGUAUUAAACAUGGAUUGCCGUUUGGGUACAUUGACCAAAUCAAGUUUCUGGUCCCAUAACAUUCAGGACCUGAUACUGAGCUGAGAAAGCUCUUCAAAGGUCCUUGACCCUAUGAGGUCUCACCAGGGCUGCUGGCUGGCCACUGAUCUCUACUCCUUUUUUCCUUUUUUUUCUUUAAGGUAAAGAGUCAUUUAUUUUAUUACUUACUUGACACAUAGUUGAUUUACAAUAUACUAUUAGUUUCAGGUGUGCGGCAUAGAGAUUCAGUAUUUUUGCAGAUUAUAUUCCAUUAUAAGCUAUUAUAAAAUAAUGCAUACAAUUCCUUGUGCUAUACAGUAAAUCCUUGUUGCUUAUCUAUUUUACAUAUAGUAUUUUUUAAUCUGUUAAUACUGUACUCUUAAUUUUCCCCUGACAUCCCUAUUUCUGAACUUUAACUUCAACAUUUGCAACCUGAUAACAUCACAAAAUAAUCUGUCAGAGGGAACAGGUAACAUAUUUCCAUUUUUUCCCUGGAGGCUCAAUGGAAAGAAUCUGCCUGCCAGUGCAGGAGAUGCAGGUUCAAUCCCUGGGUUGGAAAGAUCCCUGGGAGAAGGCAACUCACUCCAUUAUUCUUGCUGAGAAAAAUCUCAUAGACAGAGGAGGCUGGCGGGCAACAGUCCCUGUGGUUACAAAGUCUGAUACUAAACAACAGCAAUAAGAGAUUACUAAAUCUCCUCCCUGAAGAAAGCAUGUAGCCUAGUCCCAUACAUUUACAAACUCAUGAAUAUGAAAAAAAAAGACCAGUGAAUUUUUAUAAUAGACCCAGGAAUAAUACCUGCCCUACAACCUCUUGCAUGUUAAGCACGAGUAGUAACAAAUUAACUGAGAUAUAUUGUUAACUGACGCUUAACAUUGCUUUUGCAAACCCAAUAAAAAAUGUUGGUCAGAAAAAAAAAGUCACUUAGUAGUAACAGAAGUGGAAAGCAUACAAGUCCCAAGGCAUCUGGAAAAUUAGUUGUGUAGGAACAGCAGAAUAUAUCAUCUGUAGCUGUUGUUUAAAGCAGACUAUUUGAAGCUUCUAAUUUCACUUAUUGCAAAGACAGGCUCCCCAUAAAAGGUACCUUCUUUUCAUGUUUAAAAUUCUGGAGCCAGUCUAGACUGACUGUGAACAAUGCUCCUUCCAAGGAAUUCAUCUUAACCGCCAAGCACGGGUUACAAUAGCACCUAGUGCGGCCUGAAAUGCCACUUUUCCAUUGGCAUUAAAUGCUUUAGCUUAAAUGACCACAGAGCUUAGCAAAGAACU
ensembl:lncRNA